AGCUCCAAUAGCGUAUAUUAAAGUUGUUGCGGUUAAAAAGCUCGUAGUUGGAUUCCUGUCUUCGGCCGGGCGGUGCCGCCCGAUCAAAGGGCGUCGCACUGCUUUGGGUCGGUGGUGUCAAAGCCGUCGACUUUUAACGGUCGGACAAUACCACCGGAGCGGUCGCGUCGGUCCGUCGGGCCUCAGGGUUCGGCGGUCGCCGGCGCGGCCCGUAAACGGCCCAGGGGCCCUUAACGUUUCCUUUGACCAAAUUAGAGUUGUCCAAGCAGGUGCAUCCCUUCGCCUGAAUAGUACAGCAUGGAAUGAUGGAAUAGGACCUCGGUCUUAUUUUGUUGGUUUUUCUAGACCCGAGGUAAUGGUUAAUAGAGACGGACGGGGGCAUUCGUACUGCGACGCUAGAGGUGAAAUUCUUGGACCGUCGCAAGACGAACGACUGCGAAAGCAUUUGCCAAGAAUGUUUUCA
rnacentral:rRNA from 1 species